AACCUAGCACACCUGCGGUGUGUACCUGCGGAGGGAUCAUUACCGAGUUAUACAACUCAUCAACCCUGUGAACAUACCUAUAACGUUGCCUCGGCGGGAACAGACGGCCCCGUAACACGGGCCGCCCCCGCCAGAGGACCCCCUAACUCUGUUUCUAUAAUGUUUCUUCUGAGUAAACAAGCAAAUAAAUUAAAACUUUCAACAACGGAUCU
rnacentral:misc_RNA from 1 species